ensembl:lncRNA
AGGUGACUUCCAGAAGGUGACCAAUACUACAAGUUAUUUCUACCUCGCCCAUCGAAAUACAUUUUACUUUAUUUGACAAGUUUUAACUAGCGCCAUGCUAUUGUUGCCAGCGUAAAUUAGCUCGCUGGGAAUGGUUUAGGACAACUGACUCAACCUAAUCCAUUCGUCUCAACUCUCAGCUGCGCGACACACGUCAUCAAUUUGGGCACCAAGCGUGUCCGUAUAGCCUCUCCCAGAUUUCUACCUGAUUUUACUUUUCGUAGCAGGUUAGAAGAAUUAUGUUAAGGUUAGGAAAAGAGUUAUGGUUACAAAAGCUGCAUCCCAUCUCUUCGAAUCCUACAACCUGGGCCACUGGCUGCGAUACGACGCGGGCGUGGCCACGUAACCCCACCCAUAAAUCUCUCUGAGCGGGUGCUUAUGUGCUUGUUCUGUUUGCGCAGUGAAGCGAGAAGGGCACAGUAAACAGUGCGGGGUUGCUAUGAUUUUUUGUUUAGUUCGAUAUGUAGCUUUGUAGUAGUCAACCAACCCAACAGCCAGUCUCGACUCGAUUAACAGGGGUAAAUUCAACAUAGCGCUCGAGUCAAAGCAAACUCAAAGCCGGAGCCUACCGGGUUAUUUACGGGAUGAAAUAAGUCACCUCGCCACCAUCGGGAGGUGGGAGUGUUGGGGUCGCCGUCCGUGUAUCGCGAACGGGGUUGAGAGACUGACGGGCGGUCAGCCUGGUCCAACUUUGCCGAACGAACAAAGCCGCCAAAUUCACUGACUGGGUCCCCGGGAACAAGCAGCAGAGAGAUCAGUCAACAUGGUCAAGUCUUUCUUCCCGCUGAAGAAACUGAGACGGAGUGGGAAACAUAUGCUGUUCUUAGUUCUGCUGAUGUUGGGAGCUUUUGCUGUCUACCACGAGUUUGUUGCUACUAAGGCGUGGAGGAGCACCAAGAGCCGUUUCAGUCUUGCUAGUGAGGAUAGCCUCGGGAGAAUUCCUACCCAAGAGAGAUUGGUAAGGAUGGGGGGGAGACAGGGAUAGUAUGAAGAGGGUAAGAGCUUGUAGGAGACGGGUGUGUAUGGGAAAGAAUUUGUCACAUACCAGUUAUCACAAAAUAUAAUUAGUUGCUUCAUCUGUGCGUUUUCCAGUUUGGAGGUGAUGCGAGUGAGGAUUCAGAAGCCUGGCGUUCCAGCUACACCCCACAGCCCUGGAGGCCAGAGGUACGCUCUCUUAUUCACAUCACAGGAAGCAUCCACAACCUGCCCAGGCUUGCUCACCCCCCCCUUGUGUGUGUAUUUAGGCCCUAGUGUAUAGUAGUAAUCAGUGUUUGAGCAGAAUCUAAGUAGGAGUCCUCAUGUUUCUUUUAUAUCAUGGUGUGCUGCUUUGCUGAGUUGGUAUAAUCUUAUAUAAAAGGCUUCACCACUUUAACGUAAUGGCAAAAUGUAGAUUUACACAUAAAUAGACAUACCCAAAAGUAACUGCUAUUCAUGUGUAAUACAUUGGUUCUGACAUGCCAAAACUUGGUAUAUUUGGAAAGACAUUUGAGGAAGAGUUCAGAAUACACAAAAUAACUUUUUUUAUUAUAUGCUUUUUAAACAUUUUAUUUAGAAAGUAAUCUUUCAUUGACAAGCUAUACGUGAAUUAUUGAUGCCCAGAGCUGUAAACGCAUCAGAUGGCUUCCACAACAUGUGAACAAUUUCAUGAAAAAAUGGUAUUGAUAGACCUAACACCUAGAAAUGGGCAGAUGUUUUAGUAUCUUGUCCGGUGUGGUCAGGGGACAUUUCCAAGUGUCACUAAACUUCUCCAAAGUGGAAUAUGUCUGUAAAUUAGAUAAUUCCAGUGCUAUUACAUAUUUGCAAUCGCCAAAUGCUUUUUUUUUUCAGUCUCAAACACAAUUUAUACCAUAUCAACCUCACACAUUGUGGUGAUGUUAUGGGGUAUCCAGGGUACGUUCAAGUGUCCUUUCAACCUCUCCCAAGUGUCCGAAUGUGGUAAUUGCACUGUUUUUUUUUUUAGUAAACUGGAUGGGCCGAAAAGUUAUUGUUCACUUUAAAAACUGGCCACAACACCAACCUCUCUCAAACAUUGUGGUGGUGUCGGAACAUACAGGGGAUAUUUCGUUUUUUAAAAUAAAACAUCUCAGGUGCCUGAACGUUUAGCCUAGGCAUAGCCAAUGUAUUGGUCCCACAAACAAAAACAAAAUAAAAGCAACAUAUAUACACUACCAUUUAAAAGUUUAGGGUCACUUAGAAAUGUCCUUGUUUUUGAAAGAAAAGCUUUUUUUUUUGUCCAGUAAAUAACAAAUUGAUCAGAAAUACAGUGUAGACAUUGUAAAUGACUAUUGUAAAAUGCCUAUUUAUUUAUAUAUAUAUAUAGAGAGGGAGGGGGGGGGGGGGACCUAACCCUUAAAAAAAAAAAUAUAUAUAUAUAUAUAUAUAUAUUUAAAAUAUAUAGAUAUAUUUAAAUAUUAUAUUUAAAAAAAAAAAAAAAAAAAUAUAUAUAUUAUUAUAUCUAUAUAUUUAAAUAUAUAUGAUAUAUUUAUAUAUAUAUUUAAAAAAAAAAAAAAAAAAAUAUAUAUAUAUAUAUAUCUUUAUUCAAAAACUAUAAUCUCGACAUAGGCGUACAGAGGCCCAUUAUCAGCAAUCAUCACUCCUGUGUUCCAAUGGCAUGUUGUGUUAGCUAAUCCAAGUUUAUAAUUUUAAAAGGCUAACUGAUCAUUAGAGAACCCUUUUGCAAUUAUGUUAGCACAGUUGAAAACUGUUCUGAUUUAAAGAAGCAAUAAAACUGGCCUUCUUUAGACUAGUUGAGUAUCUGGAGCAUCAGCAUUAGUGUGUUCGAUUACAGGCUCAAAAUGGACAGAAACAACGACCUUUCUUCUGAAACUUGUCGGUCUAUUCUUGUUCUGAGAAAUGAAGGCUAUUCCAUGUGAGAAAUUUCCAAGAAACUGAAGAUCUUGUACAACGCUGUGGACUACUCCCUUCCCAGAACAGCUCUAACCAGAAUAGAAAGAGUGGGAGGCCCCGGUGCACAACUGAGCAAGAUGACAAGUACAUAAGUGUCUAGUUUGAGAAACAGACGCCUCACAAGUCCCCAACUGGCAGCUUCAUUAAAUAGUACCCGCAAAACACCAGUCUCAAUGUCAACAGUAACAACAGGCAGCCUACUGGUUAUAGUGUUGGACUAGUUAACUGUACGGUUGCAAGAUCGAAUCCCCGAGCUGACGAGGUAAAAAUCUGGCACUCUGCCCCUGAACAAGGCGGUUAACCCACUGUUCCAAGGCCGUCAUUGAAAAUAAGAAUUUGUUCUUAACUGACUUGCCUAGUUAAAUAAAGGUAAAAUAAAAAACAGUGAAGAAGCAAAUCCGGGAUGCUGGCCUUCUAGGCAGAGUUGCAAAUACAAAGCCAUAUCUGACUUGCCAAUAAAAGAUUAAGAUGGACAAAAGAACAGACACUGGACAGAGUAACUCUGCCUAAAAGAAUACACACAAUAGGCUGACUGGGGAAGUAAUUUCACACCGUCACAGUCCCACGAUAAGCACUACAGCGCUAAUAUUCGCAUGAACUCUUCACAGUUGUGUUCUGUGGGUGUCACCGAGUAGAUUGAUAUCCCAUUUCAUUGCUUCAGAUUCCAACCUUGUUUAACAUGAUCUAGUCUAAAUAUGGCAUGAAUCCACCAAUUGUAACCAUCUGCAUCCAUUUUACAUGUAUUUUGAAGGGAAACUGCAAAUUACACUAUUGUGACUAGCCUCACAACACAACCCGGUCGAGCAUCACUAGCCAGAUGAAGCUAACUGGCUGCUUAUAACGUUAGCUUUGGGCAACAGUUAAGUAGCUGGCUAGCUAUUUAUUUUCAUAAACAGGAGUUCAAUUUCAAUAGGUGAACAACAAGUGGCUACCUAGCUAAUACUUACAAGGAUUUCUAAAUCAUUGCUAAGAAUAAUGAAAAUGACUGCACUUUCUACUGGUGAUUGUUUUCAGGCUGGUUGUAUUGGUGCUAGCUAGGUACCAAACUAAAGCUAGCUAGCUACCCCAGAAGUUGCGGUCAAACUAAUAAUGCUUUAUUACCAAUGUGGUAUUGUAAACACAUCGUUCGUUCCCGAUGUUUGCAGACUUUGUACAGCUUUGACAGUACUACUGUAUCUCUUUCACAUUCACUCAAACGGUGUUCCAUAGUAUGUAUGUCGUGAAGCUAAUAGCAGUGACGCUAUUACUGUGUAACUCCGGUAGGGUGACAUCUGAACAACAGGGUGCUUGGUAACGUUAGUGUGUACCGGUGCUCGACCAGUUGCGAAAGCCAACUUCCUCCACGACAGAAAACCGUUGAUUGUCAAGGGCAUUGAAUUCAUUAUCUUGCCGUUAAUGGAUUUCGCCUUUGAGUUGUCUCUCUGAAAUGUUCUUACUCUUUCAAAUGACCGAUGGACUUGUUGACUGCUCGAGCCACACAGCAGACAUUGUGGGUUAGGAAUGCUGUGUUGCACGUGUAGUGCAACAUUUAACAUGGCGUCAUUACGUCAUGUACCUACGUUAUAUAGGUAUGCACGUCAGCUUUUACAUUUUUUCACAUGCCGAUGUUGGCAUUUUUAGCUAAUAUCGGCUGAUUCCGAAAUGUUCAGAGGGAACUGGGAGAGAGGGGUUUGACCUUUUUUUUGUUUUGGCCAUCUGCUUUUGGAGAAUUAAAUCAUUUACUGUGUCAAUGUCCACAACGUCUUGUACCAUUUCCUGGUCUUGUGGAGGACCGUGGAGGACCUGGUAGGAGCCUAUCAGAUAGGAUGACACCCCCAUGCUUG